GGUCCAGUCUCCACAAACACCGCAAUUGUAUUGGUCAGCUCCAAGAGCGGUUCUAUUUAGUGGGGAACUAAAUGGACGGUGCGAAAUCGAGGGGAACAUAAUUAUGUGUUGAGGAAAUUACCUUCACUAAAACGUUAUAUUUUUUUUUUGUGUGGUGGCAAAGUCGGGAAUACACAAGUGCUCAUCAGGAGCAAGGUCAAAUAGACGAUACCAAGUUCCCUCAAGUAAACUUCGAAGUCCCUCAGAGAAAUCAGCCUUUGUUGAUAAGGAGGGUCUAUCUCACUCACGUCAUCUGAGAACACGCUUUGCAUGAAGACUGCAUCUGUUGGACGACAACUGGCAAAUGAUUGAUUUUUCCUAUCCACCUUCCUAAUUGAGGAUUGCGCUUGCUUGUCAGGUAUUUCCCUCUUAGGUUGGGACAUUGUUGUGGCAAGGGACGGCUGGGUGACUCCAGUGCUGGAAAAAGAUGCAACAGGAGAA